GAGGGAAGCUGAUACUCUCUAUUGUUAUCCUUUCCAUUUAUCUACUGAGUUACCAUAUCCAUUUCAGAAUAACCUGAAUCUGCUCAGAGACCUGGCUGUGCACAUUGCCCAUAGCCUCAGGAACAGUCCAGACUGGGGAGGUGUGGUCAUAUUACACAGGAGACCCUCCUGUUCUUAACUGUGGGCGAUGAGAAAGGUGGUGGACUCUUCUUACUGGCAGGGCCACCUGCGUCUGUGGAGACCCUGGGGCCCAGGGUGGCUGAGGUCCUGGAAGGCAAAGGAGCAGGGAAGAAAGGCCGUUUUCAGGGCAAGGCCACCAAGAUGAGCCGGCGGAUGGAGGCGCAGGCGCUUCUCCAGGACUACAUCAGCACGCAGAGUGCUAAGGAGUGAGGGCUUAGGGCACUCACCUCCUGUUUCCACAGGAAUCUUUUGGUCAAUAAAAUAGAUUGACUCAGAA
rnacentral:lncRNA from 1 species